AAUUAUGUCUGCGAUGUUACUCUGAGUGCACAUCCACACCGGGCGAGCCCGAAAAACAUGCCCGGCCACGGUGGGAUUCGAACCUACGACCUUUGGAAUACUAGCCCAAUGCUCUUCCAACUGAGCUACGCGGUCAGGACGGUUCGAGUAAGUGAUAUUUCGGAACAGUAUCUAGUUACUUCAAUACCAAUGUGUUCUAGUAAUAUGAAUUUUUUCUGUGUUCGUGUUGUGUACUCGGGCGAGCCCGAGCCUGGGCUAGUAUUCCAAAGGUCGUAGGUUCGAAUCCCACCGUGGCCGGGCAUGUUUUUCGGGCUCCCCCGGUGUGGAUGUGCACUCAGAGUAACAUC